rnacentral:lncRNA from 1 species
CGUGCCGUGUUUGAGGUGUGCGCAUGAGCCUUCCUUGAGGACAGUCCAAUGACUUGCGCUUCUUUCUCCUCUGAACGGCUGUCCUCGAUUCUCCUUGUGUUGUUCAAACACCGCUGUCUCACCUCCUCACCUGCACGGCUUAUCUGCCGCUUUCCAGAGAGGCCUCCCUGAACCCCGAGUGUUACUCUCAGCGGUCUCUGCCUUCUUUAUGAAAAUAUGAAUCAGUAUUUGGAUUUAUUUUUGCCUUUCAGCUUCUAGGAAACACAGUACAAUAAAACAAAGAACCAGAAGAGGAAAGACGCCAGCUGUCUUGUUCCUAACUUUGGGACGGAGACCGAGAGCCCGGCUCAACGUCUGAGAAGGCGCAGAGUACUCGUGCUAGGAUUUUGUGUUCUGCAGUAGCGUGGGUAUUGAGUCCAUACAGUUGGCUGAGGAAUGGCUCUUGCCAUCAGUAAAACAUGUCGUCUCCUGCUCGCCUUGUCCCAUGAAUUAGCAGUGUUCAUUCCACCAACGGUGUUUUUAAAAGUGGAAACGGCCCUACAAACUGUUGUUCUGAUUUUGAUUUUGGUGAGCUGAACUCCAGGCCCCUCACAGAAGCGAUACAGCAUCUCCUCAUGAGUGGCUUCGUUUCACUUACUUUAAUGUCCUUGAGAUUCAUCCUCAUCAUGGCCUGUGAUGGAAUUGCCUUCCCCUGAAGGUUGAAUGCUAUCCCUCAGCCGUAAAUCCUGCAUCGUUUUCACCUGCUCACCCACUGCUGGAUGCUUGAGUUGUUUGUUUUUGAUUUUUUGCCUCUUGGUUGGCGAGAGUCAUGGCACUAUGAACGUAGGUGCCCAGGUCUCUUUUGAGACACUGCUUUUACUUCUGGCAGUACACCCAGAGUGGGAUUGGCAUGUGUGUUUUUAAAAUUAACUUAACCACAGUGAAUUUCUUGGUACGAAGUCAAUAAGGAUGUGAGCACUGCCUUGGGUAUACAGUGGGCACAGGCCUCCAGCUUCUGAUGAGUGGCUUUUUUCUUUAGCCACUGUCCCAAGCUGAUGCCAGGCUUCUUUGCUGAACCAUUGUAUUGAACUUCUGAAUUUAUCGUUACGUCUGAGCAAAGCUUUGAGGCCCCUGGUUUUAUACAGGGGUGGAGUCUUUGCUUCCUGCUUUGCAGGGCUGGACUCUUCACCUUUUCUGCACAGGCAUUACACGUGUGACCCACGUCUUGUAUCUGCUUACAACCCUCUUGUCACCUGUUUGGUUCCCACUCCCAUUCGCUGCUUUUGCUUUCUUUCU